UACGUAGGCAGCGAGCGUUGUUCGGAAUUACUGGGCGUAAAGAGUGUGUAGGCGGUGCUCCAAGUCUGUUGUGAAAUCUCCCGGCUUAACUGGGAGGGUGCGGCGGAAACUAGAGUGCUAGAGGGUGGGAGAGGUAAGCGGAAUUCCUGGUGUAGCGGUGAAAUGCGUAGAUAUCAGGAGGAACACCUGUGGUGUAGACAGCUACUGGACCACUUCUGACGCUGAGACACGAAAGCGUGGGUAGCAAACAGG
rnacentral:rRNA from 1 species